AGGUAACAAAAACUCCGAGCUCUAAUACCUAAAGUUCGAACAACUAUGGUACUGGAGCCGCAACUGAGAAGUUGCCCGGUAGCCAGAGAAAUCAACCUGCCGCCCACGAGCUUUAACGCUCGAUAUUUGGAAAGGUGUUAGAUGAACUUACAA
rnacentral:ncRNA from 3 species